UACGUAGGGUGCAAGCGUUGUCCGGAAUUAUUGGGCGUAAAGAGCUCGUAGGCGGUUUGUCGCGUCUGCUGUGAAACUCGGGCUUAACUCCGGGCCUGCAGUGGGUACGGGCAGACUAGAGUGCGGUAGGGGAGACUGGAAUUCCUGGUGUAGCGGUGAAAUGCGCAGAUAUCAGGAGGAACACCGGUGGCGAAGGCGGGCUC
rnacentral:rRNA from 1 species